rnacentral:lncRNA from 1 species
UUUUUUUUUUUUUUUGGCCCUCUUUAUUUUGAAAGUCAAAUGUGAAGUAUGCUGUUUUCUUGUAUCAUAUAACUUUGCUAAAACAUUAUGCUGAUCUCAGUUAACAUUCAUUUCAUCUUAUUUUUCUAAGAAUUUUCUAAGAAUUAGUCUGUAGUUGCAAUUCACAGUUAAACAUUUGUUAAAUAUGAGAAAAGACAAGUUCAAUUCCCAAAUUUUCACUUUCAUUUUUCUAAAUAAAACUCCAUUUAGGGGCACCUGGGUGGCUCAGUCAGUUAAGUGACUGACUCUUGAUUUUGGCUCAGGUCGUGAUCUCAGGAUAGAGAAAUCAAACCCCAUGUAGGGCUCCAUGCUCAGCAGAGAGUCUGCUUCUCUCCUUUACUCUCUGCCCCUCUUCCCACAUGCACACACUCUCUGAAAUAAAUACAUCUUAAAAAAAAAAAAAACAUUUAAAUCAUUUUGCCACAUUUUAUUUAGAAUUUUUGGUCUUCCUUUAAAGUAUAUCUGCUUUAAAUGGUCCUUUUCUCUGGCCCCUGGGUGGCUGGGAUGAGUGCUUUACUCUUGAUUUCAGCUCAGGUCAUCAGGUCAUGAUCUCCGGGUCAGGGAUCAAGCCCAGAGCUGGAUCCACACUCAGAGGGGAGUCAGCUUCAGGAUUCUCUCCCUCUCCCUCUCCCCCUCCCACCUCUGCACCCCCUUCCCGCUUGCCCACGCAUGUGCCUGCACGCUCACUCUCCCUCAAAUAAAUUAUUUAAAAAAUUAAAAAAUAAACAGUCCUCUUCUGAAACCAAUUUAUCCUAAAAUUUCGUGGUUAAACUUUUUAAAUUAUUUUAAGUACAAACAGGAUAUAUAUACUUUCUAAAUUCAUACCCAUGCAAAAAUAAAUAAAUAUUAAUAGAUUGAUGCUUGUGUUUGUGAAGCACUUAAUGUGCAAUGCUGCUAGAUUUAAUCAUUCGUGAGUUAAGCUUGUCAUAUAUGGGAACAAGCGUACCUCGUUAGGUCUCUGAACAUAAUCCAAGUGUCUGCAGGUAGGAAUACAAGAUACAGGCAGUCAGAGAAGUAAUGCAGGCGGCACAAUCAUAGCACUGAGACUUGCCCAAUUAACCGUUACACUACAUAACUACCCACUUUGCCUAAUUCCUCACUUCUGAGAAAGAAAUGGUUUUGAACUUGAUAAACUCAAAGGAAAUGGUGGUUUCAAUAGCAAUUUUGCUGUUUCCUUUGAAUGUUCUAGUUCUUUUUUCCCCUUUGUUUUCUUUUUGCGGUUUCUUUGCUAAAGCAUUUUUAGCACAUUCCGUCAGUUGCGGUUCCAGGGGCAACUAUAUUUUUAUUACAGGCUGCAGAGGACUCUAUGCUUUCUUAAAUAAAAAUACAAUUUAAGAAAAAAAUGUUUUCUAAAGCUUUAAUUCAGGGAUGCCUGGGGUGCUCAGUUGG